UUAAUUAAUUCAUCUUAUCAGCAACACUUCUUACAGUAGUAUAAUAAUUAGGAUUACAUAAUAUGUUUAAUCCACGGGGAGGUGUCAUAUGCACGGUCAUUAUUGAGUACUCUUACUUAAAUUCCGAGCUAUUCAUUCAGCGAAUCACUCGAAAUAGCUCAGUCGGAUCCGAUGGGUUUUGGCAUGUAUUCAAGAUAAUACAGUUUUAGAUGUAGGAGUGCAGCACUGGAAACAGCCUCUGCGAGCUGGCACCACACAGCAAAAGUAAUGGAUAGAAAGUAGAAUUUUGUCUCUUGUCGGAGAUGUGUCCAUGUCAGUUAAUUGAAAAGAUGUAGAUAAGUGACCUAGGGUUCGAAAUCGAUUUAAGUGCGUACCGUUGUGGAUUGUUGACAAACAAUAAUGUGCAAGCACGUAGCCGUCAGUCAGCAGAUAGUGCGCGAAUAGAUUGUUUUUCAACAAGGAGAUACUGAUUCUUUUUAAAAAAGGAUAUUUCUAAAUCAAAAUGGAGCUACUGUGUUAUUACUGUGUUUGUUCAACUGAAUAGGUAGGAAUAUACACUAAUUAUCUUGGACAGCCGACAAUGUACUUGUUUAUUUAAACGUCGGGUGAUACACUUUGUGGUUCAAAGUUUGUGGAAAGUUUAUAUGGUGGCUAGCAGACGAUCGUCCUACAUAAUGACGGAUAUAUAAUAUUCUGUAAAAUGUGGCAACGAAUUCGAGAUUACUCAUCUGCCAUAAACUUUACAAUAUUAAAUUUUCUACGCAGAAGAAAUUAUGAACAGUUUGAUGAAAAUGGUAAAGAAUCUUGUAUUGAAAAUUCCUCUGACGAGAGCGAGUGUGACGAACAAUGGACAGUAGAGUGCAAUACGCCACACACAGACACAUGCGCAAUUAUUGACCAUGUGGAAGUACACAACUUCCCAGAGAAACAAAAAUCAUCCUCUGAGAGGAAAGAAUCAAAUCAGAAAAACUAUGAUGGUGAUACUGAUGUAAAACUUGAUGUAUCUGUAGGGCGUAGUCAUUAUAAGAAUAAAGUGCUACGAGGACCAAAAGACGAUGUGAAUGAAGGCAUUCAUUUGGUUCCACGCGAUGUCAAGGACGUUGUACAUAGUUACACGCAGAGGAGGUAUUCGAGACUUGAUGACGAGAACGAGUCUUCCGAAGAAGAAGACUUCCAGCUUGCGCAAUCAGAGCCAAAGUCAAUGUUCCACAAUGCAAAAGAUUUCAGUGGAAAGAAGUCGAGAAAAACAAAGCGACGUAAAAAGGUACAUCUCUUGAAAGUGUUGCGUAGACUCUCAUGUUUGACGUCUGCGAUGCAAACCAAUCAAAGAAAAUUUCGCUGAAUUUAAGGAAUGAAAUGACAAUGGUCAUGUUUGAGUUAAGAUGUACUUAUAUACUUGUUAUCAGAGGUCCAAGUCAGUACCAAAACUAUUCAGAACCUCUUAAAUAUGGUGUAAAAUGUAUUUAUUAAUCCCAUAUCGCUAUAUGUAUAUAAUUAUCCAAUAUCUGAAAUGUACGCAGUUCUGUUAAGUAUUUCCCGCACUGUGUUCAAUGUAUAUAUUUAUGUCAGUAUUUUUUAUUGUUGCCAAAGUUUUGCAUUCAAGCCUUUUGAAGAAGUUGCUUACCAUUGACAGAGAGGUGUUUUUAUUAGCAUCAGUGGAAAGUGUAAACAUACUUCAGCACCACGUACAACCCUUGAUAUAGUGAAUACUUGCAAUGUAUUUUCCCUUUACAUCCUUUGGAAGCCUAUUACCGUACGUGUAACUGUUCAGGAAGUACAGUUAUCCAAUACAAGCGAUUUUAUCGGUGGUGUUGAUAUAAUUAUAUAAACAAUAUUGUAUGAUGCAGCGGAAAUUUAACAAGCAUCUAUUAAUUCUUUUUAUAGAUGCAUGUUUACAAAGGACUCAGAAAGAUUGUAUCGUCUGUAGGGAAAGCGUUCGUGAUUGCUCAUGGCGCUUCUUUACUCACGGCAGAGGAUCUUACUUUUUCUAAACCGACAGGGUAUUCUUUGCAUGGCUUGUUGUUCGACAGAUACAUAUCAUGAUGUAUUCAGAAAAUCUCCAUAACCUUGGCAAGGCUUAAUAUUGAAGCGCGGGUUCAUUUGAGGUUAUAAAACUCAGUGUUUUGUUAUUGGUGUACAAGAUGGGUCUACAAGGUACUCACGUUCCAAGGUCACCCCUAAAAUAUCCAAGUCAGUUAAUGUGUAGAGUAAGUACAGUUGCCCCAUCCUGAGAAGAAGACUAUCGCAUUAAUGAGUUCGUAUGUCUAGCAAAUUAAGGAUCCUGUUGCACUAGUUUAUUUGGCAAAGUUAACGAAGACCCUCUGCUAGUCGCAUAGGAUAAACCUUGUGACUCGCCUUCAACAGUUGCAAGUUAUGACAAAGAGAAAACAAGAAAGAUUUAUGAAAAAAUACAUGGUUGUCAAACCGAAAUAUCGGCUAUAAUAUCUGAUUUAUUUAUUGCAAUUUUAUUAUUAUUAUUGUGCGCUGUUAUGGUGUAUUGCGAUAGUAUAAGAUAAUGUUUUGAUCACGAACCUUCUGUGAGCUGGGGUUGCUGAGAGGCAGCUGGGUUCUGGUAAAAAAAAUCGUUAAUGCUCUAAGUAUGCAAACAAGCUAUUUCAGUGGUGUACUUUUCUUUGUAAAAUAGCUUCGUCUAUAAAUACUCUGAUAUUGUUUAUUUUGUUCUUUUUCUGCAUUGUGACAAUCGACGCCGUUGGAAAAUUUCGAUUGCCGAAAUGACAAGACGGACUUUUCGUGGAUCAUGGAAGUGGUUAAAGCGGGGCGUUAUGGGAUAUGCGGGUGGACUGGCAACAGCCAAUAUAUUUAUGCUUUUUUAUAAGAAAGAAUAAACAGAUGACGUAUUUAUUUUUAA